rnacentral:rRNA from 1 species
AGUGAACGCUGGCGGUAGGCCUAACACAUGCAAGUCGAACGGCAGCACAGUAAGAGCUUGCUCUUACGGGUGGCGAGUGGCGGACGGGUGAGGAAUACAUCGGAAUCUACUUUUUCGUGGGGGAUAACGUAGGGAAACUUACGCUAAUACCGCAUACGACCUACGGGUGAAAGCAGGGGAUCUUCGGACCUUGCGCGAUUGAAUGAGCCGAUGUCGGAUUAGCUAGUUGGCGGGGUAAAGGCCCACCAAGGCGACGAUCCGUAGCUGGUCUGAGAGGAUGAUCAGCCACACUGGAACUGAGACACGGUCCAGACUCCUACGGGAGGCAGCAGUGGGGAAUAUUGGACAAUGGGCGCAAGCCUGAUCCAGCCAUACCGCGUGGGUGAAGAGGGCCUUCGGGUUGUAAAGCCCUUUUGCUGGGAAAGAAAAGCAGCAGGUUAAUACCCCGCUGUUCUGACGGUACCCAAAGAAUAAGCACCGGCUAACUUCGUG